UACGUAGGGUGCAAGCGUUGUCCGGAAUUAUUGGGCGUAAAGAGCUCGUAGGCGGUUUGUCGCGUCUGCUGUGAAAACUCGGGGCUUAACUCCGGGCCUGCAGUGGGUACGGGCAGACUAGAGUGUGGUAGGGGAGACUGGAAUUCCUGGUGUAGCGGUGAAAUGCGCAGAUAUCAGGAGGAACACCGGUGGCGAAGGCGGAUCUCUGGGCCAUUACUGACGCUGAGGAGCGAAAGCGUGGGGAGCGAACAGG
rnacentral:rRNA from 1 species